GGAAAGUCCCCGUGCCUUGGUGCAGAGAGUGCGUGUGGGAGACCCAGUGGUGAUGCUUCUCGCGGAGCCGUGGUGGCGGGUGUGGGUCCUUCGCAGCAGCACAGACAUGCCGUGAGU
rnacentral:RNase_MRP_RNA from 14 species